rnacentral:rRNA from 1 species
CCUACGGGUGGCAGCAGUGAGGAAUAUUGGUCAAUGGGCGCGAGCCUGAACCAGCCAAGUCGCGUGAGGGAAGACGGUCCUAUGGAUUGUAAACCUCUUUUGUCGGGGAGCAAAAGACGCCACGCGUGGCGUUCCGAGAGUACCCGAAGAAAAAGCAUCGGCUAACUCCGGUCCAGGAGCCGCGGUAAUACGGGGGAUGCGAGCGUUAUCCGGAUUGAUGGGGUUUAAAGGGUGCGCAGGCGGAAGAUCAAGUCAGCGGUAAAAUUGAGAGGCUCAACCUCUUCGAGCCGUUGAAACUGGUUAUCUUGAGUGAGCGAGAAGUAUGCGGAAUGCGUGGUGUAGCGGUGAAAUGCAGAGAUAUCACGCAGAACUCCGAUUGCGAAGGCAGCAUACCGGCGCUCAACUGACGCUCAUGCACGAAAGUGUGGGUAUCGAACAGGAUUAGAUACCCGGGUAGUC